rnacentral:rRNA from 1 species
GACAGAGGGUGCAAAUGUUGUUCGGAAUUACUGGGCUUAAAGCGCGUGUAGGCGGAUGGGUACGUCGGUCGCUGAAAUCCCCCGGCUCAACCGGGGAACGGGCGCCGAAACGACCCGUCUGGAGGGACGUAGGGGGACCUGGAACUUCCGGUGGAGCGGUGAAAUGCGUUGAGAUCGGAAGGAACGCCCGUGGCGAAAGCGAGGUCCUGGACGUCUACUGACGCUGAGACGCGAAAGCUAGGGUAGCGAACGGG